rnacentral:rRNA from 1 species
UAGGGAAUCUUCCGCAAUGGACGAAAGUCUGACGGAGCAACGCCGCGUGAGUGAAGAAGGAUUUCGGUUCGUAAAACUCUGUUGUUAGGGAAGAAAAAAUGUAUAGUAACUAUAUACAAAAGAGACGGUACCUAACCAGAAAGCCACGGCUAACUACGUGCCAGCAGCCGCGGUAAUACGUAGGUGGCAAGCGUUGUCCGGAAUUAUUGGGCGUAAAGCGCGCGCAGGUGGUUUAGAAAGUCUGAUGUGAAAGCCCACGGCUCAACCGUGGAGGGUCAUUGGAAACUAAUAAACUUGAGUGAAGGAGAGGAAAGUGGAAUUCCUAGUGUAGCGGUGAAAUGCGUAGAUAUUAGGAGGAAUACCGGUGGCGAAGGCGACUUUCUGGACUUUUACUGACGCUCAGGUACGAAAGCGUGGGGAGCAAACAGG